AUUGAACGCUGGCGGCAGGCCUAACACAUGCAAGUCGAGCGAGCGGCGGACGGGUGAUUAAUGUCUGGGAACCUGCCUGAUGGAGGGAGAUAACUACUGGAAACGGUAGCUAAUACCGCAUACCAUCAGAUGUGCCCAGAUGGGAUUAGCUAGUAGGUGGGGUAACGGCUCACCUAGGCGACGAUCCCUAUCUGGUCUGAGAGGAUGACCAGCCACACGGGAACUGAGACACGGUCCAGACUCCUACGGGAGGCAGCAGUGGGGAAUAUUGCACAAUGGGCGAAAGCCUGAUGCAGCCAUGCCGCGUGUGUGAAGAAGGCCUUCGGGUUGUAAAGCACUUUCAGCUGGGAGGCGUUACCCGCAGAAGAAGCACCGGCUAACUCCGUGCCAGCAGCCGCGGUAAUAC
rnacentral:rRNA from 1 species